GACGAACGCUGGCGGCGCGCUUAACACAUGCAAGUCGAGCGAGAACCAGUCCUUCGGGACUUGGGGACAGCGGCGAACGGGUGAGUAACACGUGGGUAAUCUGCCCUCGGCACCGGGAUAGCCCGGGGAAACCCGGAUUAAUGCCGGAUGGCCUCUCUGCCCCUCGGGGCGGCGAGAAAAGGUAGCUUCGGCCUCCGGCCGAGGAUGAGCCCGCGGCCGAUUAGCUUGUUGGUGGGGUAACGGCUCACCAAGGCGACGAUCGGUAGCUGGUCUGAGAGGACGAUCAGCCACACUGGGACUGAGACACGGCCCAGACUCCUACGGGAGGCAGCAGUGGGGAAUCUUACGCAAUGGGCGAAAGCCUGACGCAGCGACGCCGCGUGCGGGAAGAAGGCCUUCGGGUUGUAAACCGCUUUCAGGAGGGACGAAGCCACUCGGGUUAAUAGCCUAGAGGGUGACGGUACCUCCAGAAGAAGCCCCGGCUAACUACGUGUCAGCCGCCGCCGUAACAC
rnacentral:rRNA from 1 species